rnacentral:rRNA from 1 species
GACGAACGCUGGCGGCGUGCUUAACACAUGCAAGUCGAACGGAAAGGCCCUGCUUUUGUGGGGUGCUCGAGUGGCGAACGGGUGAGUAACACGUGAGUAACCUGCCCUUGACUUUGGGAUAACUUCAGGAAACUGGGGCUAAUACCGGAUAGGAGCUCCUGCUGCAUGGUGGGGGUUGGAAAGUUUCGGCGGUUGGGGAUGGACUCGCGGCUUAUCAGCUUGUUGGUGGGGUAGUGGCUUACCAAGGCUUUGACGGGUAGCCGGCCUGAGAGGGUGACCGGCCACAUUGGGACUGAGAUACGGCCCAGACUCCUACGGGAGGCAGCAGUGGGGAAUAUUGCACAAUGGGCGGAAGCCUGACGCAGCAACGCCGCGUGCGGGAUGACGGCCUUCGGGUUGUAAACCGCUUUCGCCUGUGACGAAGCGUGAGUGACGGUAAUGGGUAAAGAGGCACCGGCUAACUACGUG